rnacentral:rRNA from 1 species
CCAAUAGCGUAUAUUAAAGUUGUUGCAGUUAAAAAGCUCGUAGUUGAAUUUCGGGAUCAGUACGUUGGUCGUGCCUUGGUAUGUACUGGCGUCACUGGUUCCUCCCUUCUGAAGAACCGUUAUGCCAUUAAUUUGGUGUGGCGGGAAAUCAGGACUGUUACUUUGAAAAAAUUAGAGUGUUUAAAGCAGGCUCGCGCUUGAAUACAUUAGCAUGGAAUAAUGAAAUAGGACGUUAAUCCUAUUUUGUUGGUUUCUAGGAUCGACGUAAUGAUUAAUAGGGAUAGUUGGGGGCAUUAGUAUUCAAUUGUCAGAGGUGAAAUUCUUGGAUUUAUUGAAGACUAACUACUGCGAAAGCAUUUGCCAAGGAUGUUUUCAUUAAUCAAGAACGAAAGUUAGGGGAUCGAAGACGAUCAGAUACCGUCGUAGUCUUAACCAUAAACUAUGCCGACUAGGGAUCGGAUGAUGUUAAUUUUUUAAUGACUCAUUCGGCGCCUUACG